UGCUGUUCGCGGAUCAAAUCAUGCUCACCAAACUUGCUGGAACCUUCGCGCCCGACGAUAUGGCCGAAGAUAUCCGGUUCAGUUUUGGGCCAGGCAAGAAUUACCGCCGCGAACUCGUCACCUAUGAUGUGGCGACGUCCCGCGUAGCCUUUGCGUCGCUCAAUGCUUUUCUUGCGGCCUGGCUCGUCAUCGACACGCUCUACUGGAUCGCGUAUUGGACGUUCUACCAAGGUGGCCGUAAGCAGUUUCU
rnacentral:rRNA from 1 species